rnacentral:tRNA from 1 species
GGCUCUGUGGUGCAGUGGUUAGCACAUUUGCCUUACAUGUAAAAUAUCCUCAGCUUGAUCCUGGGAGAAGACA